UACGUAGGGGGCAAGCGUUGUCCGGAAUCAUUGGGCGUAAAGAGCGUGUAGGCGGUUUCGUAAGUCCGACGUGAAAGUCCAGGGCUCAACCCUGGAAUGCCGCUGGAUACUGCGGAACUAGAGUCCGGAAGGGGCGAGUGGAAUUCCUGGUGUAGCGGUGAAAUGCGCAGAUAUCAGGAGGAACACCUAUGGCGAAGGCGGCUACCUGGACCGGUUCUGACGCUGAGGCGCGAAAGCGUGGGUAGCAAACAGG
rnacentral:rRNA from 1 species